rnacentral:lncRNA from 1 species
UUUCUUUAUCGUUUGUUCCUAAAAAUUUAAAUGUAAAAGCGGAUUAUUUGGUUCGACAAGCUCGGGCCAUUUUACAACUAGUCAAGUAUAUAAACAAUUGCCCGUCACAUUGGCUCAUUUGAGCUGAUCAUUCAUUUAUUUGAUGACAAAAAAAAAAGAUUAAAAUAUUAGUCAAAUAUAUAUGAUUAUUAAAUUAGGUAUUACUAUUAUUAUGGCUCAAUUUCAUUAAAAAAAAAACCCAACCGGUUAUAGUUAUUAAAUAUCGGGUUCAAAAUUAUACAUACUGUAUCGG